AAAAUGCACCUAAGAGUAAUCACAGUUCUGACCACUGGGGAAAAAAAACUUGAUUUGUGCCAGCUGCACAUUUUUGUUGAGCCAUUAAAGAGUCUCCCUGCAUGAAUCUUUGGUAGAGUAUAUAGAUAAUGGUACAGCACUGACAAAUUGAGUGUGAGAAGCACUAUGUCCACAACUUGGGUUUGAAAUAUUAAACUUUGCAAGAUGUGAACUUGACCACACACAUCAAAAGGGUGUUACAAGGUGCUGGCUGUGUCUCUCUAUCCAUCCACUUCCUAGCAUGCUAACCCUAAAAUCAUAAGUGGUAGAUGAAAUUUUCAGAGGAAUUGUCUAUACUGUAAAACCCAAACAAAUUAAAAAAUGUUUUUUU